AUACAGAGGGUGCAAGCGUUAAUCGGAAUUACUGGGCGUAAAGCGCGCGUAGGCGGUUUAAUCAGUCGGAUGUGAAAGCCCCGGGCUCAACCUGGGAACUGCAUUCGAUACUGUUAAGCUAGAGUAUGGUAGAGGGAAGUGGAAUUCCAGGUGUAGCGGUGAAAUGCGUAGAUAUCUGGAGGAACAUCAGUGGCGAAGGCGACUUCCUGGACCAAUACAGACGCUGAGGUGCGAAAGCGUGGGGAGCAAACAGGAUUAGAUACCCUAGUAGUCC
rnacentral:rRNA from 1 species